ACAGCUAGUCUGCUUUUUGCCCUCUAACGGAGUAACACCGGCUUUACUCCUCCGGCACACAGCCGACCCAGGGGAGAAACAAAAGGCACAGAACAGCCGGGGUGCAGGGCUGGUCCCUCCCGCUGCUCCCAGCCGGCGGCGGCGCUGGGCAGGACCGGUCCCCAUGGGGCAGCUGGAGGGGGGUUCCCGGCGCUGUCGCCCCCCGAGCAUCGCCCGAAGGUGGCCCCUUCCUCCGGAGCCCACCCCGGCACCCGCCGCCUCCCCUCUGCCUCCCUCCAGUGGGGAAAUCCCGGCUGGAUGGAUGGGGAGAAGCCUCCCCGCUCCGGAGUGCCGGGGGGAUGCUGCGAGCAGCGCCGGGGCCGCCCCUGCUUCUAAACCACAGAAAUAAUUUUUUCAAAAACCCCAACAACUCAACAGCCAAGUGAGGAGUCAGGAGGCUGGCAGGCUCCCACCGCGCCUUCUGCAGCAACGGGGAGCGGGGAUUUGCAGUCCCAUCUCUGCACCAUUUCUCUGGAGCACACAAGAUAGGAUAUGAUGCUUCCCUCCAGCCACACCAAGCUUGGUCACAAGUUGCAAGGAGGAGAAAUGGAGGAGAGCUCUGCAGUGGCUGGGUUUGCUCAGAAAGGCUCUUUUCUGUAAAGCAAGGCAGAAGAGGAGUGUGUUUGCCCCAGAGAUGUUUCAGGGAGGCAUGACACAGUGACAGGGGUGUAGCAUGGAGAAGUGCAGAGCAUGGAGAAGAUCUGCAAGUCUCUGCCAGCACACGGCUGAGCCAAGAGCAGAGAACAAGACCAAAUCCACCUGAAACAGCAAGCAUGGAGCCUAUUUCUCCUUUUUAUAUCAUUGUUACACUCACUUAAUUCCUUUAGAUGCUCUCAACUUCCCUGAUGCACCCCAAGGAGCGUGGAGGUAACAAGUGCUCUCUGAUAAUGCCAUCGGAAUUACGGCAGGGUCCAGCCCAGUGUGCUGGAUCUGAUCCCCUCAUGCUGUAGUGUUUCACUAGCAAGUGUCAUUUAGAUGGUUUUGGGAAAGAAUCCAGGAUUUGUUUCACAGACAAAUUCCUCAACAGCUCAGUGAAUAUAGAAUAGUUUUAACUAACCAUGCAAAUCUUGCUUGUAAUCUUAUGUAGGGAAACUAUAUCUAUUCUAGAGACUGGGCCAGGGCUUUCAACUGCUGAUGGGGGAUAGUUAUGCAGACUUCAAAGGAGCUGUAUCAGCUUUUACCAAGUGGGGAUCCAGACCUUUAUUCAUAUUUUUAAAUUCAGAAACUGUGCCUAGGUAAAGCAUUUUUCUCUAUAUUUUUAAGUAGCCAGUUUUUUAUUUUAUAGCUGUUCCCUCAGUGGCAGGAUUGUUUCUCAGUAGUCAAUGUUUAAAGGCCCUUCAAGGCUGAAGGAAUUAAAAAUGAAUAAUUUAAAGCUGGUCUAUGAGGCAUAAUUUUUAACAUAUGUUUUACAGGCCAUGUGGAACACUUUUUUGACUUGUCAGUAGAUAUUUUACAAACAUGCUGUGCUGGAACCAAAACCUUUUUUAUUUAAGAGUUAGAUUUGAGUCCUCCUAUGCUUCAACACAGCAGCAUGCUGUGUCUACAAGCCAUAACAAGGAAACCAUUAUCACCAGCACUGAUCAGAAAAGGGGAGAAAUGAAGCAAUUGCAGAACUUUUUUCCUCUUACACACACUGCUAAAACAGAACUAUGGCUCUCCCAUCUUAAGAAGCCUCAUCCCAAGGCAGAGGUAGAGGAGCUGUGAUUUAUUUGCUCUAAGGCUCCAAAAGGGAGCCUUAGAGCAAAUAAAUCCUAGGUGCUCCUUCUCCAGCACCUAGGUGGUGCUGGAGAAGGAGCCAUGAAACAUGUUGUCUUUGGGUUAUUUUUUAAAUGGCUUGAUGGCUGGGGUGUUUUUUUGCCAACCUCCUGUUAACUCCCUAAAUAUUGUGCUAGGAAUGCCAUCUGAGUAACUCUUGACAGUUUGAAUAGGCAAAGCUAAUUGCUGGUGAAUAACCACCUUUUAUGAAUUUCAUUUCUUGUCCCUUCCUGACUGCUUGCAGCAAGAAAGGGAGGAGGCAUCUACCUUGCAGAUGUUCAAAGACAGCCUGGCUUUCAACCUUAUUGACUGGUUCCCACAUUCUUCCUUGUUUUCCUGGAUUGUCCAGCUUUUCAUUUCUAUUUUAAAGUUACUCCAUAUUUGUAGCUAAAAAUAAAUUGGUUUGGUUAUUUCAAAA